UACAGAGGGUGCGAGCGUUGUUCGGAAUUAUUGGGCGUAAAGGGCGCGUAGGCGGCGCCACAAGUCACUUGUGAAAACUCUGGGCUCAACUCAGAGCCUGCAAGCGAAACUGUGGUGCUGGAGUAUGGGAGAGGUGCGUGGAAUUCCCGGUGUAGCGGUGAAAUGCGUAGAUAUCAGGAAGAACACCAAUGGCGAAAGCAGCUUUCUGGGACGGUACUGACGCUGAGACGCGAAAGCGUGGGGAGCGAACAGG
rnacentral:rRNA from 1 species